UACGUAGGGGGCAAGCGUUGUCCGGAUUUAUUGGGCGUAAAGAGCGUGUAGGCGGCCAUACAGGUCAGCUGUGAAAACUCGAGGCUCAACCUCGAGAUGUCGGUUGAAACCACCUGGCUAGAGUCCGGAAGAGGAGAAUGGAAUUCCCGGUGUAGCGGUGAAAUGCGCAGAUAUCAGGAGGAACACCAAUAGCGAAGGCAGCUCGCUGGGACGGUACUGACGCUGAGGCGCGAAAGCGUGGGGAGCGAACAGG
rnacentral:rRNA from 1 species